rnacentral:rRNA from 1 species
AGAGUUUGAUCCUGGCUCAGAUUGAACGCUGGCGGCAUGCCUUACACAUGCAAGUCGAACGGCAGCACGGGAGCUUGCUCCUGGUGGCGAGUGGCGAACGGGUGAGUAAUAUAUCGGAACGUACCCUAGAGUGGGGGAUAACGUAGCGAAAGUUACGCUAAUACCGCAUACGAUCUACGGAUGAAAGUGGGGGAUCGCAAGACCUCAUGCUCAUGGAGCGGCCGAUAUCUGAUUAGCUAGUUGGUGGGGUAAAAGCUCACCAAGGCGACGAUCAGUAGCUGGUCUGAGAGGACGACCAGCCACACUGGAACUGAGACACGGUCCAGACUCCUACGGGAGGCAGCAGUGGGGAAUUUUGGACAAUGGGCGCAAGCCUGAUCCAGCAAUGCCGCGUGAGUGAAGAAGGCCUUCGGGUUGUAAAGCUCUUUUGUCAGGGAAGAAACGGUUCGGGCUAAUAUCCUGGGCUAGUGACGGUACCUGAAGAAUAAGCACUGGCUAACUACGUGCCAGCAGCCGCGGUAAUACGUAGGGUGCAAGCGUUAAUCGGAAUUACUGGGCGUAAAGCGUGCGCAGGCGGUUGUGCAAGACAGAUGUGAAAUCCCCGGGCUCAACCUGGGAAUUGCAUUUGUGACUGCACGGCUAGAGUGUGUCAGAGGGGGGUAGAAUUCCACGUGUAGCAGUGAAAUGCGUAGAGAUGUGGAGGAAUACCGAUGGCGAAGGCAGCCCCCUGGGAUAACACUGACGCUCAUGCACGAAAGCGUGGGGAGCAAACAGGAUUAGAUACCCUGGUAGUCCACGCCCUAAACGAUGUCUACUAGUUGUCGGGUCUUAAUUGACUUGGUAACGCAGCUAACGCGUGAAGUAGACCGCCUGGGGAGUACGGUCGCAAGAUUAAAACUCAAAGGAAUUGACGGGGACCCGCACAAGCGGUGGAUGAUGUGGAUUAAUUCGAUGCAACGCGAAAAACCUUACCUACCCUUGACAUGUCUGGAAUCCUUGAGAGAUCAGGGAGUGCUCGAAAGAGAAUCAGAACACAGGUGCUGCAUGGCUGUCGUCAGCUCGUGUCGUGAGAUGUUGGGUUAAGUCCCGCAACGAGCGCAACCCUUGUCAUUAGUUGCUACGAAAGGGCACUCUAAUGAGACUGCCGGUGACAAACCGGAGGAAGGUGGGGAUGACGUCAAGUCCUCAUGGCCCUUAUGGGUAGGGCUUCACACGUCAUACAAUGGUACAUACAGAGGGCCGCCAACCCGCGAGGGGGAGCUAAUCCCAGAAAGUGUAUCGUAGUCCGGAUUGUAGUCUGCAACUCGACUACAUGAAGUUGGAAUCGCUAGUAAUCGCGGAUCAGCAUGUCGCGGUGAAUACGUUCCCGGGUCUUGUACACACCGCCCGUCACACCAUGGGAGCGGGUUUCACCAGAAGUGGGUAGCCUAACCGCAAGGAGGGCGCUCACCACGGUGGGAUUCGUGACUGGGGUGAAGUCGUAACAAGGUA